UCCAAUCGAACUCGGAGAUAGCUGGUUCUCCUCGAAAUAGCUUUAGGGCUAGCGUUGAGUAUGAGUAGUGGAGGUAGAGCACUGAAUGGGCUAGGGGCUGACAACAGUUACUGAACCCUAUCAAACUCCGAAUGCCAUAUACUUGAAUCUCAGCAGUCAGACUACGAAUGAUAAGAUCCGUGGUCAAAAGGGAAACAGCCCAGAUCAUCAGCUAAGGUCCCAAAGUGUAAGUUAAGUGGAAAAGGAUGUGGGAUUUCUAAGACAACUAGGAUGUUGGCUCAGAAGCAGCCACUCAUUUAAAGAGUGCGUAAUAGCUCACUAGUCGAGAGGUCCUGCGCCGAAGAUGUCCGGGGCUAAAACUUACCACCGAAGCUAUGGACUCGAAAGAGUGGUAGAGGAGCUUCCUGCAUGGGUUGAAGUCGCACCGUAAGGAGCGGUGGACUGUGCAGGAGUGAGAAUGUUGGCAUAAGUAGCGAGAAAUAAGUGAGAAUCUUAUUGGUCGAAAACCUAAGGUUUCCUGAGGAAGGUUCGUCCGCUCAGGGUUAGUCGGGACCUAAGCCCAGGCCGAAAGGCGUAGGCGAUGGACAAUCGGUUGAUAUUCCGAUACCGCAAAUUUGCGUUUGACAAACGGGAUGACGCAGGAGGAUAGGAUGUGCACACUAUUGGAUGUGUGUCUAAGCACUUAGGCAGGCUGGAUUGGAAAAUCCGUUCAGUCAAUGCUGAGGUGUUACAGGGAUCCCUUUCGGGAGAAGUAUCUGAUUCCACGCUGCCAAGAAAAGUCUCUAUGGAGUAAGUUUGUGCCCGUACCGCAAACCGACACAGGUAGGUGAGGAGAGAAUCCUAAGACCAUCGGAAGAAUUGUUGUUAAGGAACUAGGCAAAUUAACUCCGUAACUUAGGGAUAAGGAGUGCCCCGAAAGGGGCCGCAGAGAAUAGGCUCAAGCAACUGUUUAUCAAAAACACAGGUCUCUGCUAAAGCGAAAGCUGAAGUAUAGGGGCUGACGCCUGCCCGGUGCUGGAAGGUUAAGGGGAAUACUUAGCGCAAGCGAAGGUAUGAACUUAAGCCCCAGUAAACGGCGGCCGUAACUAUAACGGUCCUAAGGUAGCGAAAUUCCUUGUCGGGUAAGUUCCGACCCGCACGAAUGGCGUAAUGAUUUGAGCACUGUCUCGACAACAAAUCCGGCGAAAUUGUAGUGCAAGUGAAGAUGCUUGCUACCCGCGAUUGGACGGAAAGACCCCGUAGAGCUUUACUGCAGUUUAGCAUUGAGUUUCGGUAUUGUCUGUACAGGAUAGGUGGGAGACUUGGAUAUUAGGGCGCCAGCCCUUUUGGAGUCGCCCUUGGGAUACCACCCUGACAGUACUGGAAUUCUAACCGGCGGCCAUGAAACUGGUCACGGGACAUUGUUAGGCAGGCAGUUUGACUGGGGCGGUCGCCUCCUAAAAUGUAACGGAGGCGCCCAAAGGUUCCCUCAGAAGGGUCGGAAAUCCUUCGAAGAGUGCAAAGGCAUAAGGGAGCCUGACUGCGACACAUACAGGUGGAGCAGGGACGAAAGUCGGGCUUAG
rnacentral:rRNA from 1 species